AUGCUUGUUCUGGCAGCAUAUAUACUAAAAUUGGAAAAAUAUAGAGAUUAGCAUGGCCUUUGCACAAGGAUGGCACGCAAAUUCAUGAAGCAUUCUGUACUUUU